rnacentral:rRNA from 1 species
GCGAACGCUGGCGGCAGGCUUAACACAUGCAAGUCGAACGGGCAUCUUCGGAUGUUAGUGGCAGACGGGUGAGUAACACGUGGGAACGUACCCUUCGGUUCGGAAUAACUCAGGGAAACUUGAGCUAAUACCGGAUACGCCCUUUUGGGGAAAGGUUUACUGCCGAAGGAUCGGCCCGCGUCUGAUUAGCUUGUUGGUGGGGUAACGGCCUACCAAGGCGACGAUCAGUAGCUGGUCUGAGAGGAUGAUCAGCCACACUGGGACUGAGACACGGCCCAGACUCCUACGGGAAGCAGCAGUGGGGAAUAUUGGACAAUGGGCGCAAGCCUGAUCCAGCCAUGCCGCGUGAGUGAUGAAGGCCUUAGGGUUGUAAAGCUCUUUUGUCCGGGACGAUAAUGACGGUACCGGAAGAAUAAGCCCCGGCUAACUUCGUG